GGUACUUUUUCUAUUUUUUUCUUCUUCUUAGGCAUCCCAGGUCAUGGUUUUUUUAAUAAAGAAAAACAAAAUUCACCUAUUUGAUUUAAGUUUCAUUACUGGAUAGAACACAAUGGCUUUCUGAAAUAAGAAAGACUAAAUUCACCUAUUUGAUUUAAUUACUGGAUAUAUUUUCCUGGUCGAGUUGUAUAAUGCAGAAUUGAAUCAUUAAUUUCAAUCUAAAGAAGUUAGGAGGUAGACUAUGUUGCUUACAUGAACAGAGAACUAGUAGUCUAGGAGGAUUUAAUUGUAAUUGAUGAAGACCUUUUAGAUAUUUUAGCAAAUAGCACUAGAUCAUUAAAGACUUUGCUUUCUUUGGGGAUAUGACUAUCUUAGAAAUGAAAUUAUGUAAUUUCUUUGGAUCAUGACAUCAUUGACUAUUCAUUUUAUCUUUUUAAUGGUUUC